GGAUCAAUAUGCUGGUCGUGCCUUUGGUACGUACUGGUAUUAUUGGUUUCUCCUUUCUGAAGAACUACGAUGUCAUUAAUUUGGUGUCUUGGGGAAUCAGGACUGUUACUUUGAAAAAAUUAGAGUGUUUAAAGCAGGCUAACGCCUGAAUACAUUAGCAUGGAAUAAUGAAAUAGGACGGACUGAUUCUAUUUCGUUGGUUUCUAGGAUCACCGUA
rnacentral:rRNA from 1 species